rnacentral:rRNA from 1 species
CUCCGGUUGAUCCUGCCGGACCCGACUGCUAUCAGAGUGGGACUAAGCCAUGCGAGUCAACGUAGCAAUACGUGGCAUACGGCUCAGUAACACGUAGUCAACAUGCCCAGGGGACGAGGAUAACCUCGGGAAACUGAGGAUAAACCUCGAUAGGCCAUGAUUUCUGGAAUGAUUCUUGGCUCAAACCUAUAUGGCCCCUGGAUUGGACUGCGGCCGAUCAGGCUGUUGGUGAGGUAAUGGCCCACCAAACCUAUUACCGGUACGGGCUCUGAGAGGAGGAGCCCGGAGAUGGGCACUGAGACAAGGGCCCAGGCCCUAUGGGGCGCAGCAGGCGCGAAACCUCUGCAAUAGGCGAAAGCCUGACAGGGUUACUCUGAGUGAUUUCCGUUAAGGAGAUCUUUUGGCACCUCUAAAAAUGGUGCAGAAUAAGGGGUGGGCAAGUCUGGUGUCAGCCGCCGCGGUAAUACCAGCACCCCGAGUGGUCGGGACGUUUAUUGGGCCUAAAGCAUCCGUAGCCGGUUCUACAAGUCUUCCGUUAAAUCCACCUGCUUAACAGAUGGGCUGCGGAAGAUACUAUAGAGCUAGGAGGCGGGAGAGGCAAGCGGUACUCGAUGGGUAGGGGUAAAAUCCGUUGAUCCAUUGAAGACCACCAGUGGCGAAGGCGGCUUGCCAGAACGCGCUCGACGGUGAGGGAUGAAAGCUGGGGGAGCAAACCGGAUUAGAUACCCGGGUAGUCCCAGCUGUAAACGAUGCAGACUCGGUGAUGAGUUGGCUUCUUGCCAACUCAGUGCCGCAGGGAAGCCGUUAAGUUUGCCGCCUGGGGAGUACGGUCGCAAGACUGAAACUUAAAGGAAUUGGCGGGGGAGCA